rnacentral:rRNA from 1 species
AGAGUUUGAUCAUGGCUCAGAGCGAACGCUGGCGGCAGGCUUAACACAUGCAAGUCGAGCGGGCGUAGCAAUACGUCAGCGGCAGACGGGUGAGUAACGCGUGGGAACGUACCUUUUGGUUCGGAACAACCCAGGGAAACUUGGGCUAAUACCGGAUAAGCCCUUACGGGGAAAGAUUUAUCGCCGAAAGAUCGGCCCGCGUCUGAUUAGCUAGUUGGUGAGGUAACGGCUCACCAAGGCGACGAUCAGUAGCUGGUCUGAGAGGAUGAUCAGCCACAUUGGGACUGAGACACGGCCCAAACUCCUACGGGAGGCAGCAGUGGGGAAUAUUGGACAAUGGGCGCAAGCCUGAUCCAGCCAUGCCGCGUGAGUGAUGAAGGCCCUAGGGUUGUAAAGCUCUUUUGUGCGGGAAGAUAAUGACGGUACCGCAAGAAUAAGCCCCGGCUAACUUCGUGCCAGCAGCCGCGGUAAUACGAAGGGGGCUAGCGUUGCUCGGAAUCACUGGGCGUAAAGGGUGCGUAGGCGGGUCUUUAAGUCAGGGGUGAAAUCCUGGAGCUCAACUCCAGAACUGCCUUUGAUACUGAAGAUCUUGAGUUCGGGAGAGGUGAGUGGAACUGCGAGUGUAAAGGUGAAAUUCGUAGAUAUUCGCAAGAACACCAGUGGCGAAGGCGGCUCACUGGCCCGAUACUGACGCUGAGGCACGAAAGCGUGGGGAGCAAACAGGAUUAGAUACCCUAGUAGUCC